AUGGCAGAUGGCGCGGAGAUCGCUGCUAACGCCCCCCUGACCAUCGACGAGCAGCUUUUGAGUAUCGAGGCCCGUCUUCGGUCGGCCCAUCGGUUGAUGCGCCGGCUUCAGCGUGCCGGCGCCCAGGCGGUUGCAGCUCUGUGGCCAGACGCGCCAGUUCUGCGCACUGCCAGUCGGACUGCCGACUGGCUGGAGGUCGCAGCCGGCUGUCUUGAAGCCUGGAAGGGUUCCUCAGCCCGGGCCGGAGCGCGCUGGGCCUUGGAAUUUGUCAAGGCGUGGUAUCCGGGGCUGGACCUGGACCGGCUAGCCGCGUUCCGGUCAGAGGCCCAGGCGGAGCUAGUGGCUGUGGAGGGCACCCUCGUCGAGCAUGCAGCAGCGAUUGCCGACUACACAAACACCAGCGUCUUCCUCCCUGAGCGGGCUGCAGGCGGCGAGGAGGUGCCGCCGGAGUGGUUCGGGAUGAAUCCGGACUAUGACGAAGACUCGGCAGAAGUGAUUGGCUCCAGCUCCGAGGAGGAAGACGAGGCGGAGGAUGAAGGCGAGACGGAGGUGCCAGAAGACGUAGCGGGCGACUAG
rnacentral:rRNA from 1 species